GGCGGACGGUCUAGGCGGGGCUGGAGGCGGUGGCUGCGGUUGCGGGACCGGUGAGCGCGGGCGGCCGGGGGGGUGUCUGAGCGGGGCGGCGCACGCCCCUGGCCCUGCCUGGCCUCAAGGGGCGGGGCACCGGUCGCUCGGGGCGGCCUGGCCGAGGGAGGCAGUGGCUGCAUUUGGGAGCCCGGGGCCGAGGCCGGGAGCCUGGGAGGUGCCACCGCGGGCCGGGAAGGACUGGGAGUCCCCGGGCCGGUCGGAGCGGCGUCAGGCCCUGGUGGGAGACGCAUCCGACCUGGAGGAGCAGGCCCCGCUCGGGAGGCGAAAGAGCGGAGGGUCCAGCGCCUCCCGCGGCUCGAGGCCCGGAGGAGCCGGGCGGGGGCGUCUUCGCGAAACGCAGGCGACCGAGGACCGUCGCGUUCCCUGCGGCCGGCGGGAGGGGAGGGGGCGUCGCACGGAGGUGCCUGCCUCCCUUGGUGGGCAGGCCGUCUGCUUUGGUGUUCUCCCGUGACAAGUGCUCGGUUGGUCUGUCCUGUCAGAGCGAGUAUGAUCGUUGAGAUCUGUCCACCGGCAGAACUAGGCCGAGGGUUGGUGUCUGGGACUUUUCAGGAACCGGUGCCUUAAGGACUUACUUGUAUGUGGAAAAGUCGACAAAAAGAAGGGCCUUGGGGCCAGAGUGUCUUCCCCGGCCCCCUUCCCUGGCUUGUCACUCAGGCUGUGACCUUGGGCCAGGCCGAGGCCUUCAUUUUCUAAUCUGUCACAGGGAGAUGGCUGCGAUUUAGUUUUGAGGAUGCUACAGGCAGCAGCAGGGCUGGCACCCUGUGUCACAGGUACCUUGUGGCCUUGGGAGUGUUUGUGCAUCUCUGCAGCUUGGGUGCUGCUGAGGCAGCUUUCUUUGCCUUGUCUGAGCAGUCUGUAGCUUUGCACCUUCUGAAUCCCACAUACUUAAGACUUGGUCUUUCCACAGUGGCUCUCCAGGGAAGAGGGAGAGGUUUAGGCCAGUGGUAAGGGCCAACAAAGGUGAGGGUUGCUUUCUUUCGGGGUCUCCGUGCUUGGUGACGCUCUGGAGAAUAGUAGCUUUUGCGGGGGCUUGUAUUUUAUAGGCUACAUCAUCUGGACUCGGUGUUCCCUGGGUCUCGGUCUUUUCAACCUGCCUUGUUGCUUAUGAAGCUGCUUCUGUGCUUCCAGCUCUUUGGUGUUUUGUGGAGUCCAAGUGUAGCCCUGGAGAGCAUCUGUGAGGAGAGGGGAGGGAAAGGUGAUUUGGCUGCUUGACUCCUUAGAGUGUCCCGUCAAUACUAAUGCUGAUGAAGGUUGGUGGGGAGAGUCCUGGGCUUUAUUCAGGUUUCGAAGAAGGUUUUGUGAAGCAGCUUUGUAAUUUGAGAGGCCUGAAGUACCCAUGGGGGGCCCUGCAAGGCAACAGGCAUCUGUCAAAAGCAUACCCAAGCAAGCGAGUUGUUGACGAUGCCACACUGCUUGACGCUUAGUUUCUCUAAAGAGAUCCUGUGCAUCUGGAGGGCUGGGGCUGAGUUGUGAGUUUGUCUGCCAGUUCACUGCACCCAGCCCAGCGCUAGGCAUCUAAUAGGUGCUUCUCUGUGCCAUGGCCACUGCUAACUGCUGACUUUGUUUCAGGCACUAUGCUGGGCCUUCCUACCACUUGUGUGUGGCUUGGUAGUGGCCUAGGGUCUCUCCUCCCUGCUGAAGUCCCUCUCCUGCAGGUGGCCGUCUGCCCGGCCCAGCACCAUGCACACGCUUGUGUUCUUGAGCACACGGCAGGUGCUGCAGUGCCAGCCAGCUGCCUGCCAGGCCCUGCCCUUGCUGCCACGCGAACUCUUCCCCCUGCUGUUCAAGGUGGCCUUCAUGGACAAGAAGACAGUGGUACUGCGCGAGUUGGUACACACGUGGCCCUUCCCGCUGCUCAGUUUCCAGCAGCUGCUACAGGAGUGUGCCCACUGCAGCCGUGCCCUCCUGCAGGAGCGGCCUAGCACUGAGAGCAUGCAGGCUGUUAUCCUGGGGCUGACUGCCCGGCUCCACACCUCAGAGCCUGGGGCCAGCACACAGCCCCUCUGCAGGAAGCAUGCGCUGCGGGUGCUGGACAUGACGGGCCUCUUGGAUGAUGGUGUGGAACAGGAUCCUGGCACCAUGAGCAUGUGGGACUGUACUGCUGCCGUAGCUCGCACAUGCAUUGCCCAGCAGCAGGGUGGGGCCGCAGAGCCUGGGCCAGCCCCCAUCCCCGUGGAGGUGCGCGUGGACCUGCGGGUGAACCGGGCCUCCUAUGCGUUCCUGCGGGAGGCACUCCGAAGCAGCGUGGGCAGCCCGCUGCGGCUCUGCUGCCGGGACCUGCGAGCUGAGGACCUGCCCAUGCGCAACACUGUGGCCCUGCUGCAGCUUCUGGAUGCAGGCUGCCUGCGCCGCGUGGACCUGCGCUUCAACAAUCUGGGCCUGCGCGGCCUGUCUGUGAUCAUCCCACACGUGGCCCGCUUCCAGCACCUGGCCAGCCUGCGGCUCCACUAUGUGCAUGGGGAUUCAAGGCAGCCCUCCGUGGAUGGCGAGGACAACUUCCGCUACUUCCUUGCCCAGAUGGGCCGCUUCACCUGUCUGCGUGAGCUCAGCAUGGGCUCCUCUCUCCUUUCAGGGAGGCUGGACCAGCUGCUCAGCACCCUGCAGAGCCCCCUGGAGAGCCUGGAGUUGGCCUUCUGUGCUCUGCUGCCUGAGGACCUACGCUUCCUGGCACGGAGCCCACAUGCUGCCCACCUCAAGAAGUUGGACCUGAGUGGUAACGACCUGUCUGGCAGCCAGCUGGCACCCUUCCAGGGUCUGUUGCAGGCAUCAGCAGCCACACUGUUGCAUCUGGAGCUGACUGAGUGUCAGCUCGCAGACACCCAGCUGUUGGCCACACUACCCAUCCUGACUCAGUGCGCCAGUCUCCGGUACCUUGGCCUCUAUGGCAACCCACUGUCCAUGGCGGGCCUCAAGGAGCUGCUGCGGGACUCAGUGGCACAGGCUGAGCUGCGUACUGUGGUGCACCCCUUCCCUGUGGACUGCUAUGAGGGCUUGCCCUGGCCGCCGCCUGCCUCUGUCCUGCUGGAGGCCUCCAUCAAUGAGGAGAAGUUUGCCCGCGUAGAAGCUGAGUUGCACCAGCUGCUUCUAGCCUCAGGCCGUGCCCAUGUGCUCUGGACCACGGACAUCUACGGGCGACUGGCUGCGGACUACUUCAGCCUAUGAUGAAGUAGCUCUGGGUGAGACACAGGCCGCCCUGCAGUCUCUUUAGGUAGGCAGGGCCUUUGCUGGGACCCCUGGUGGAGGCCUUCACAAAAGCACUGGUUACUGGUUUCCUGCUGGGUCUACCUUGCUUCUGGGCACACCUCAAGCCUCCCCUGCUUUCUGCAGUGCCCCACGCGGUUUUCCCUGCACUUGCUCCAUAAUUGGCUGAUCAUCUGUGGGCCCCGGGGCUGGAUGUCAGGCCUCCAUUGCCCUGCUCAGUUUGGCUGCAUUUGGCUGCCGUCUGGGGUCCUGGUCCUUUGUGCAAAUGCUUUGGGAUUCCAGUUGUGAGCUGAGAGAGAUGAUGGCCUCUCUGGGCCUUUCCUCUCCCUUUACUGAGAGCUCAGUGCUUCUGGGGUUGAAGUUGGACAGAGGCCUGCUUCAGGGAAGCUGGGAGUCCCCAGGCACUCACGCCUCUUACGUGUUCCCUACCCUGCCACCCAGCCACCCCACUGGGCUGGGCUCGGGCUGGAGGGGGUCAUCAAGGUACACAUGUGCCUGGAAGUUGAAUUUGUGGCUGUUUUUUUUUCUGUCCACGUUGGUCACCCUUAUCCUUAUCUCUGCUGUCACCCCCAACAUGGCCACCCGGCAACAACUGCCAUCCAGCCUGUCGCCCCGCCCUUCGCGGGGCAGCCCCGUCGGCACUGCCGGCCAGUCCUUGCUCUUCCCACCUUUCGGAGGCCCAAGAUCCUACUGUGGCCGGCCAGGGCCAGCGAGGGACCCCCCCCAUGCAGAGCUGGAGGUUGGGGUGAUGUCUUUUCGGAAGAGCUUCAAGGGAGGUGUUGGGGCCUCCCCGGCCACCUUCCAUUGCUACCCCAGGAUUCCCGAGUGCAACGUUCCCGGCUCGCGCCCCACACACGGCUCAGCGCACACUGCGCGGCUUCCACCUUUACUGACGGAGCAUGCGCGAGGCCGCACCGGCCAAUCUCCGGCGCCCACGUCAUCCGCGCGCCCGCGGCCCUAGCAGUGGAUCUCGUAGGCGACCGGCGGGGGCACGCGGAGUCCCGGCCCCGCCCCCUGUUCCGGGCCGCAGUCAGCGGGCGCCUCCGCCGGACCCUCGGCGAAGAGCGGCUUGGAGCGGUUGAUGACGAACAUCUCGUGGCCGCGCUCGUCGCGGAGCUCCUCUAGCUGUGCGAACGUACAGGGGCCGUCCAAGUAGUCGUUGACGAACAGCGCUCCCUCCCCCGGAGGCCCCCGCGCCUUUUUUCGCCUGCGGCGCCGGCGACAGAUCAUGGCGACCAGGAGCAGCGCCGUGAGCGCCAGCAGCGCGAUGGCCGCCGCAAUGGCCGUCUGUGUGGCCACGCCCAGGGCGCGGAAGGCCAUGCUGCCCGCCUCGGGCCGGGGCUCGCUGCCGGCGGGGCGGGCGGCCGGAGGCGGCGGUUGCGCGGGCUGCUGCGGCUGCUGCCGGGACGCGUUGACCAGGAGCCGGAAGGGCACGCGGGCAGCGCCGCCGGCGUUGGAGGCCUCGCACUCGUACUUACCGGCGUGCGCCAGCGUGAUGUUGCUGAGGAAGAGCAUGCCGCUGCCCGUGUCGGAUGCCGAGUGUCCGCCCAGGCCCAGCAACCCGCCUUCUAGCUGGGCCUGGGCUCGCGGCCGGCCCUCGCGAGGCUGGGGCACCUUUCUCCAGGUCACCAAUGGCUGCGGGUAGCCGGAGGCUUGGCAGGCAACCCGCAGGUCCUCACCCAGGUUGGCUGUGAGCUCCAGCGGCUGCACGUGGACAGAGGGCGGAAUGCAGAUGAGGCUGCUGUGGGAUACGUCCAGGAGACUCUGGAGCGCCAGGCGCGGGGGCUCUGCACACAUGAUCUUCCUGUCCCUGGAGGCAGGGUGCCUGAGCUGUAUUCCCCAGCACACCCACUCCCGCAGCCCUCCAGUGUGGCUGCAGGCGGUGGUGCAGCCUUCCAGACUGCUGCCCAGUUGCCUGAUGUCAGAGCCCCUCCACACAUGAGCCUGCUCCCUACUGCCAACACCGUGGCCCAGACAGAGACGCUUUCCGAGGAAGAGGUACCUGUGAGGCGCAGGACUUGCAGACUGGCCAGGGGCUGCAGGGCCUCUCGGCUGAUGGUGCCCAGCUGGUUCCUGCUGAGGUCCAGCAGUGCUAGGGAGGACAGCCCCGCUAGAGCCUGGUCCUCCAGCAGCUCAAUGCUGUUUUCUUGCAGGUGAAGCUCCUGCAGUCGCUGAAGUAAGGACAGCAGAUCGUGAGGAAAAAGGGCGCCGAGGUUGGGGGCAUGUCUCUCUUCUUACCAAGCUAGACUGGGUUGCCUUUUCUAACUAUUCCAGCCCUACAGGGCGAGGGGCCAUAAUGGAGUAUCCCGCCCCUUUAGACCCCAGGCGCUCACCGGCAGGUGCAAGAAGGUGAAAUCCAGCAGCCGCGCCAGCUGGUUGCCCGCCAGGUAGAGCACGCGCAGCUGGGCCAGGCCUACGAAGGCGCCGCUGCGCAAGCCGCGCAGCCGGUUGCUAGUGAGCGCCAGCUCCAGCAGGCGCGGCUGCGCGCGGAAGGCGCCGGCCUCCAGGGCGCGCAGGCUGUUGUUGUGCAGGUAGAGCCGGCGCAGAGCGGCGAGUGGCGCCAGGGCUCCCGGCUCUAGGCGGGCGAUGUUGUUGUCCUGCAGGAACAGUGUCUGCAGGCCGGGGAAAGAGGAGGCGCUUACCCCGUUGCGGGGGUCUUCCUCUCCCUGGGGGCACCCCGUCCUCCCGCAGCUCCACACGGUGCCCACCUGCGUCCCUGGCGGGAUUCCCAGCGGGACGACGCGCAACCGCAGGGCGCCACACUCCACCGUGGCGCUGUAGCAGCGGCAGGCUGCUGGGCAGCCGGCGGCGCGGAGCGGCAGUAGUAGCAGCAGCAGCGGCAGCAGUGCGGGGGCCCUCAGGGCCAUCUCCCGAGGCCCGGUUCCUCACCGGCCCUUCCGCGGUUCAGCCGCAGACGCGUGCCCUCCUGAAACACAGGUUGGCAGGCCAGUCUCGGCAGUCGAGAGCCAGCCAAUAGAUGGAAUGGAGGCCUGCACCUGCGUCUAACUUUUGACGCUAUAAAUAGGUUCAAGAAACUAAUAAAACGUUCUGGUUUUCUCCUUUGACAAAAA